GACGAACGCUGGCGGCGUGCUUAACACAUGCAAGUCGAACGGAAAGGCCCUGCUUUUGUGGGGUGCUCGAGUGGCGAACGGGUGAGUAACACGUGAGUAACCUGCCCUUGACUUUGGGAUAACUUCAGGAAACUGGGGCUAAUACCGGAUAGGAGCUCCUGCUGCAUGGUGGGGGUUGGAAAGUUUCGGCGGUUGGGGAUGGACUCGCGGCUUAUCAGCUUGUUGGUGGGGUAGUGGCUUACCAAGCCUUUGACGGGUAGCCGGCCUGAGAGGGUGACCGGCCACAUUGGGACUGCGAUACGGCCCAGACUCCUACGGGAGGCAGCAGUCGGGAACAUUGCACAAUGGGCGGAAGCCUGAUGCAGCAACGCCGCGUGCGGGAUGACGGCCUUCGGGUUGUAAACCGCUUUCGCCUGUGACGAAGCGUUAGUGACGGUAAUGGGUAAAGAAGCACCGGCUAACUACGUG
rnacentral:rRNA from 1 species